GAUCUUGCGAAAUUAACAGCAAUGAAAAUGGCGAAACGAAACUUGUGAAUCGUGCAUUUGCUCUUCAUGGUAGCUGCCAGAAAAUCGAAUCAAACUUACGGGACACUGGAUUACAGGUUGCUGCCACUACUCCAUGUGCCCGCAAUUGUCUUGCGUGUAUGAUUACACUUAUGUCGUCGCCCACCACGGCGGAAGUGUUUUGCGUACACGCGUUUCAGCAUGAAGCCUGCAGGUGGACGUAAAUUGUAGAAGGCAGCUAGUGGGGGAGAAGAUCAUGGUCAUAGGUCAUGUGACUCCUGGAGCUCCCAGUGGGCUCCCUUGUGGAGUACUCUUCAGAACACACACACACACAGUUUGCUCACAGAACCAACGAGUAGGAUGUUGCUUGAAUACUGAGAGAAAAUGGAGUAACACAUACAAAUAUCGUGUGACACAUAUGACAAUAAAAACAUUUUUCACGAGGGAUGCAUGAAACACUGUCGCAAUAUUGUGUGCAUGAACCAUUGUGUGUGACACAAGCCGUGGGGGCACACCGCCUCGGACACAUUUUGGGAAGCAUAAAACACAGUAUAUACAGAGCUACUAUGGUGGAUGCUUCUUUUUUCUUUUUGGCCGUUAUGAGACAUCUUCGGCCGUAAUGAGACUACCUUCGGCCGUAUUGAGACUUUGGCCGUAACGAGACACUUGGGGAUUAAAGGAUUUUCGGCCGUAAUGAGACUUUCGGCCGUAAUGAGACUUCGGCCGUAAUGAGACUCGGGCCGUAAUGAGAUGUUACCGAAAAGGAAAACGACGUCUUGAAGAAAAUUCAUCACAUGAAAUCGAACAAGUGGAACCCCGCGGCUGACGCUCUGAGACUAGGAAAGAGGGCAGAAAAUGUGACCUGCACCAGAACUGCGCUACGUAUGUGAAGCAGGACGAUGACUAUUGGCACACGGGAAUUCAAGAAUCUCGGAAAAAAAGGUUUCCAUCAGCAGUGGAACGUCCGGUACUACAAACAUUGCAGACGCCAAACACCCUGAGCGCUGGGUAAAUUAGAACGGAACUGCGCGCACUCGGUGUCGUCACUACGCUUAAGAACAAAACAAAACUAGAAACAAUGUUGCGAACGGAGCGGAGUAAGAGAGCAAAAACGACAGUGUAAAACGGUACCGAAUUCGUUUUUUGUACAGAGUAUAUGCAUUCGUUUAGCUUACUGCACAUUGCUUGCCACAUUUGCCUUAUACUCAGUGCAGCAUAUCAACUGUCGUGUAUGUGUAGAGAGACAGCAAUCCUCUUUUGAUGAUAAUAGUUGUGUACUAUUUCAUGAAGUGACAUGUAUCAGUGCUUCCAACAUUUCGUUUCUAUAUUUCUCUGUGUAUUUAUACUUCGUACAGACACAAGCAGAAUGCGUCCAUUGUAUGUUCUGUAUAUUUCAUCACACUGUAUUGUGUAACAUGUCGUUUAAUAUUGUAUAGAAUCAUGUAUGUACCAUAUAUGUAUACUUAUAUUUCGUACAGACAUAAGCAGAAUGCGUCCAUUGUAUGUUCUGUAUUUCAUCAUACUGAAUAACGUGUAUUUUACAAAGUCUGUAUUGUGUAACAUGUCGUUUAAUAUUGUAUAGAAUCAUGUAUGUAUCACCAUGUAUUAUUUAUUGAUCGUUGCAUCUUGUAUUCAGUAACAUGAGUGACAACUGUGAUUUAACAAAUGAUUGCCAACUGCGAUUCGCAUGAG